rnacentral:rRNA from 1 species
AUGCACGCUGGCUACAGGCUUAACCCCUGCCAGUCGAGGGGAAACGACGGGGAAGCUUGCUUCCCCGGGCGUCGACCGGCGCACGGGUGAGUAACGCGUAUCCAACCUGCCUCUGACUGAGGGAUAACCCGUCGAAAGUCGGCCUAAUACCUCAUGGCAUCGUCUGCGGGCAUCCAACGACGAUUAAAGAUUUCAUCGGUCAGGGAUGGGGAUGCGUCUGAUUAGCUUGUUGGCGGGGUAACGGCCCACCAAGGCUACGAUCAGUAGGGGUUCUGAGAGGAAGGUCCCCCACAUUGGAACUGAGACACGGUCCAAACUCCUACGGGAGGCAGCAGUGAGGAAUAUUGGUCAAUGGGCGGGAGCCUGAACCAGCCAAGUAGCGUGCAGGAGGACGGCCCUAUGGGUUGUAAACUGCUUUUAUGCGGGGAUAAAGUGAGGGACGUGUCCUUCAUUGCAGGUACCGCAUGAAUAAGGACCGGCUAAUUCCGUG